UUUCCGUAGGUGAACCUGCGGAAGGAUCAUUCAUAAUAAGUGUUUUACUGCACUUUUUAAAAAUAGUACUCACCUUGUGUGCAAUGUUCUGUUUCUUUUCGGAGAAACACCUACACCAACCUAUAACCUUGAACCACUUUGUCUGAAAAACUAUUAUGAAUACUUAAUUCAAAAUACAACUUUCAACAACGGAUCUCUUGGCUCUC
rnacentral:misc_RNA from 1 species